UAUCCUAUGCUUGUCUCAAAGAUUAAGCCAUGCAUGUCUAAGUAUAAGCAACCUUAUACUGUGAAACUGCAGAUGGCUCAUUAAAUCAGUCAUAAUUUAUUUGAUGAUUACUUACUACUUGGAUAACCGUAGUAAUUCUAGAGCUAAUACAUGCGUAAAGUCCUGACUUUCGGGGAGGGAUGUAUUUAUUAGAUACAAAACCAAUGCGGGUGGGCAACCAUCCGGUUUGAGGUGAAUCAUAAUAACUGUUCGAAUCGCAUGGCUUCACGCCGGCGAUAGUUCAUUCAAAUUUCUGCCCUAUCAGCUUUCGACGGUAGUGUAGUGGACUACCGUGGCAUUAACGGGUGACGGAGAAUUAGGGUUCGGUUCCGGAGAGGGAGCCUGAGAGAUGGCUACCACAUCCAAGGAAGGCAACAGGCGCGCAAAUUACCCAAUCCUGACACAGGGAGGUAGUGACAAAAAAUAACAAUACCGGGCUUCAUAGUCUGGUAAUUGGAAUGAGUACAAUUUAAAUCCCUUAACGAGGAACAAUU
rnacentral:rRNA from 1 species